ensembl:lncRNA
GGGGCGAGAAGCAGCCGGAACACAGUAACCUCCACGGCUGCUCGGUCUCCAUUUUGGAAAAAGGGUUGAGCGUAAUCUCAACGCGGCUCCAGUGACUUUCUGCUGAACCUCGUGGAGCUCAGAGGGACGAGGUCGGGUGUAUUUUUGUGCGUCUUGAAUGUCGCCAGCGGAGAAGGGAAAGCUAUUUUUAAAGUGAAGGUCUACAGAGACCAAAAAAAAAAAAAAAUGGUUCAAUUUUUUCUUUUUCUCAGUGCGAGGAGCCAAAGCUCGACGCGGCAGAAUAACAACAGUCUUCUUCUCUACUUCCUGCCAGGAAAUACGAGCAGAGAAGAAACAAACUGGCUGCUUCCAUCAUGAACAACACGGCUGCUUCCACACAAAAACACACAUCUCUCUCAAAAAUUAGUAUCACGUCCUGGUAGCAAAAAGUGAAGAAGCCAACAAGGAGCCAAAGAUAAAUGACUCAAUACUUCCUGUACAACGUUAGCAGCACGGUUGAGCUUGGUGGAGAUGAUCUGAGAAAAGCUGAACCACAUUAAAGCCAACAGGUUAUUGUAGUAUGUAAACAGACGGCUCCAGCUGUGCUGGUUCUACUCGUCCAGGUCCAGAAUCUUUGGAGGUUCUUCAGGUUCUGCUGGUUCUACUGGUUCCAGCCCCUGACCGGCCUCCUGGGCGAAGGAGAAGAGAGUUGUGUUACAAAGUUUACCUGUCGCUCAGGCCUCGCGGUCACCGAUCAAACACGAGCACACGUUUCUGUUAGAUAUCUAUAAAAUGUGACCGCUGAGUUCAAAUUAUAAACCGCUUCAGUCUCUGUUGAACCAGCUGGACUUUAUUUCCGAACCGAAUCCAUCUGCUCAGCCCGCUGGUUUGUUGCGGCGGGGUCGGGCUUUGGUGUAGCGAUCGGUGCACUCACCCCAAACGGCUCGCUGAAGGCUCUGGAGCCGCUGUACAGAGGGUUGGGGAUGGAGACCAACGUUGGCUUCUUGCUGCCGCCCGGCGAGCCGUCCUCGUCCUCGUCCUGUCACAGAGGAGACGAACAAAUCAGACUCGGUGGUCAAACAUCUCGCAGUGUUCGUCCAUUGAGCUCUUAAGGACUUUUUCUGCAAAGGCCAUUUGGAGAAGUUGGCCGCAGAAGAAGUUAAGACUUUAACAAACGAGCUAAGAACAGAGAUUCCGAUGCCGUUUUUCCCUAAUCAGAGUAGCAGAUCAAAGAAACCAGAUGCUGCAUGUUGGUCGUAGGUCCUCACACUGACACACGCAACGUUGGUGUGUCCAUUUGGACAUAAUCUCCUUUCUGUUACGCCCCCAAAAGUUAAUAGUAACCAUUAAGUUACUAUGAAUCUUAAUUUGUUGGGUGUUGAAGCUGAAACUCUUGUGCGUGUUUGUGCGUCUCACCCUAAAGUAGUGGAAGCGGAAGGCGUCCGUCUUGUGUUUGAAGACGUAGUAGCCGAGGGCGGCCAAUAUGCACGCCAGCAGCACCGACACCAAGAUGGCCGACACUGUGCCGCUGGAGUGGGCGUGGGCUCGUGAUGCAUGAUGAGGGAUCUGGAGAUGACGAGUAUGAGAAACGCACACAAGAAUAAGUACGUAUGCAGGAACAUCACGGUAAACCUUUGAACCCCAAAGCGCGAGCUUUUAUCCGUCCAGAUCUUAUUGCCAUAGCAACAGCCGCACAUGGAGACGUGAUCCUUUUUGUUUUUAUGACUUUUUUUAAUGACAAACUGCACUCUUGACAUUUUUAUGGCGCGCCGUAUGAAUUUCUUCAUGUUGCCAUGGAGACGUGACUGCUUCUAUUUCCCCAGCGAAGGAUGAAAAUUCCACCAUUUAAAAUGAAUAAUUAAUGUGAACAAUCCGGUGUGGAGAAACGAAACCGUUCCCCGCGAUGACUGACUGGCAGCCAUUUUGUUUUUCCUGAGGAAGAAGAAGGUGUUUUUACGUGAAGCUUCAGAUCCGAAGCUCAAAUAACAUGACACAUUAUAAGAUGGCCUUUAAAUAACAUAGUGAUGCUUUUAUGACCUUUUUAUGGCAUGACGUUUUUCAACGUGCCAUAACAUGACUCAUAGUACUGUACAGUCUGACAUACUGUACAAGGACAUAUUUUUUUACAUUCCGUACUAUGAUCUUUUAUGACAGUAAGAUGUUUUCCUCAAAGCACCGAAUUGACCCACGACUGUAAAGUAUCUUGCAGGUCACAGUACACUAGUAUACCAGAGAAAUGUUAAUGAAAAAAUAUUGCUACAGCGUGUCCAAUAAUGUCCUUUAAGCGUUGACAGGAAAAAGUCUGUGUAGCAUCUUAAAUAUCUUUUUAAUCAAAUGGCCGAAUAGAGAAGACAAACGUAUUGCUGGAGGUUUAGAGAAAACUGUAAAAUUGACUGUCCACAGGGUCAGUGAGGACGUUUGAAGGAGUAAAAUAAUUGUUAGCGAAAGGCUUUAGAUUAAUCCCCUGUGAUCUCGUCUUCAUCAUCUUCUCGUGUCCCACAUGGAGAAUAUUGAUUGGUUUGUGAUUUUUAUCUCAAACUCCACUGAUUCAAUCUUCGCUUCCUGAAAACUCUGCCAAUAAACCAAAAACGGAGCCAUCUGUUCCGUGCCCCCAGCUGUAACCGUUGCCUAGCAACAAC